AUUGAACGCUGGCGGCAGGCCUAACACAUGCAAGUCGAACGAGUGGCGGACGUGUGAGUAAUGUCUGGGAAACUGCCUGAUGGAGGGGGAUAACUACUGGAAACGGUAGCUAAUACCGCAUACCAUCGGAUGUUCCCAGUUGGGAUUAGCUAGGAGGUGGGGUAACGGCUAACCUAGGCGACGAGCCCUAGCUGGUCUGAGAGGAGGACCAGCCAAACUGGAACUGGGACACGGUCCAGACUACUACGGGAGGCAGGAGUGGGGAAGAUUGCACAAGGGGCGAAAGCCGGAUGCAGCCAUGCCGCGUGUAGGAGGAAGGCCUUCGGGUUGUAAAGUAGUUGUAGCAGGGAGGCGUUACCCGCAGAAGAAGCACCGGCUAACGCCGUGCCAGCAGCCGCGGUAAUUC
rnacentral:rRNA from 1 species